GUAAAAAAAAUGCAAAGUAAACAGUGAUGUAAGACCAUUUAAGGGUCAGGACUAGAAAGAUUAGGAGUCAACAAAGGCUUUCCCAGGCCACUUAAAGCUUGCAUCCUGAACAGAGUCAUGUAGGCUAAGAGGAAAGAUUUAAAAAAGCUCUAAAAAGAGAAGACAGGUUUGUGUAGGGCUGGUGAUUGACAGGUGUGUGACUUGUUUGAGGCUCUGAGAGAAGACCAAGACCAGUGUGACUGGAGUACGGAAAGCUGGAACCUGAGGCUAGGGAUGUGAGCAGGGAUUGCAAUGACAGCCCUGUAAACUCUGUGAACUUUGUUUCACUUUAUUAUCAGAGCAAUAAAAACCCAAAGAUUUAAAAGAGAAGAGUGGCAUGCUCUGAUAUGAACUUUUUUUUUUUUUUUUUUUUACUUACAUGAACAUUUUUUAAAGGUCGAUUUAGCAGUAGUGUGUGUAUGGGUUGAUUUGGAAGAUGGCAAGUGUGGCAACAGAUUUAACUAAGAAGGCCUUGUUCUGGUAAUAAGGAGGAUUUCACAGACCCAAGAGGAAUCACAUCAAGAAGGUUUGGUGACUGAUUAGCUAGGAAAUAUGAAUGAGGAAGUAGUGCUCAUGGUGACUCAGAGUUUUGUCAAUGAACAAAUGGAUAUUUGGUUGCACUUUGCCCAAUAUGAAGAUCCAAGAGAAGGUCCAAGCUUGAAUAUUCCACCAGUAUGGCUUCUCUUUCUGAUCCUGCAUGAAGUGGCCUCUGCUCACCUGUCUUCCUCACCUCUCAACAUUCUGUCCUCCAGCCUCCUCUGCUCAGUCUCCUCAGUUUCUCAACAUGGUGUACUUUCCAGUUUACCUGUGCCCAUCCUCAUGUUGUCCUGUCUGAGAUGUCUCCCUGAACCUGCUGAAGACUUCCUACCUAUCCUUCUACUUUAUCUCAAAUCCUUUUGGGAAGCUUUCUCCUUCUGCCUCCACCAAAUUGGCUACUCAAAUAUAAUUGUGUAUCUCUGCAUCGGAGCAGUUGUAUAGUACAAUGAUUUGCAUACCCAGCUCCUGCAAGAUUGAGCGCACAGGUUGAAUCUUUGUGUUCAAAAUCUACUUAGCCAUAUUCAUUCAUCUGUUUGAUAUGUUUCUCCAUUCUUGG
rnacentral:lncRNA from 1 species